UCUGCCGUUGGUAUGUACUGUUGUUCCCGUUCUCUACUGAUGGAAACUUAUUCUCUACUCUUAAAAUGAGCGGAGAGUUAGAUCAGUAGAAUGAAUGUUGUUUUCGAACUCAUUCAUUCAAUUACUCCUACUUUUGUAAGUUCCAUCUCAUUUACUUUGAAUAAAUUAGAGUGUUUAAAGCAGGCGAUUUUUUGCCAUUGAAUACAUUAGCAUGGGAUAAUAGAAUAGGACUUCGGUUCUAUUUUUAUUGGUUUUUAGAACUGAAGUAAUGAUUAAUAGGGAUAGUUGGGGACAUUGGUAUUUAAUUGUCAGAGGUGAAAUUCUUGGAUUUAUGAAAGACUAACUUCUGCGAAAGCAUUUGUCAAGGAUGUUUUCAUUAAUCAAGAACGAAAGUUAGGGGAUCGAAGACGAUCAGAUACCGUCGUAGUCUUAACCAUAAACUAUGCCGACCAAGGAUUGGGAGAC
rnacentral:rRNA from 1 species